ACGGGAGGCAGCAGCUAAGAAUAUUCCGCAAUGGGGGAAACCCUGACGGAGCGACGCCGCGUGGAUGAUGAAGGCCGUGAGGUUGUAAAAUCCUUUUAUUGCAGAGGAAUAAACCGUGGAGUGGAAAGCCAUGGCGGUGACUGUAAGCGAUGAAUAAGCACCGGCUAAUUACGUGCCAGCAGCCGCGGUAACACGUAAGGUGCAAGCGUUGUUCGGAAUUAUUGGGCGUAAAGGGCAUGUAGGCGGUCCGGCAAGCUUGGUGUGAAAUCCCGGGGCUCAACCCCGGAACUGCAUUGAGAACUACUGGACUAGAAUCACUGAGGGGGAGCCGGAAUUCCAGGUGUAGGGGUGAAAUCUGUAGAUAUCUGGAAGAACACCAAUGGCGAAGGCAGGCUUCUAGCAGAUGAUUGACGCUGAGGUGCGAAGGUGCGGGGAGCAAACAGGAUUAGAUACCCUGGUA
rnacentral:rRNA from 1 species